UACGGAGGGUGCGAGCGUUGUCCGGAAUCACUGGGCGUAAAGGGCGCGUAGGCGGCCUGAUAAGUAGGGGGUGAAAUCCUGCGGCUUAACCGCAGGGCUGCCUUCUAAACUGUCAGGCUCGAGCACAGUAGAGGCAGGUGGAAUUCCCGGUGUAGCGGUGAAAUGCGUAGAGAUCGGGAGGAAGGCCGGUGGCGAAGGCGGCGCUCUGGAACAUUUCUGACGCUGAGGCUCGAAAGCGUGGGGAGCAAACAGG
rnacentral:rRNA from 1 species